GGACUUCUUGAUCAGUAUACGUUGACAAUAAGAAAGGUCUUGAUGUGGUGUGGAUGAUCAACUACUUCAGCAACCAUGUGAAGAACGGAAUCACACUAUUCAGAGGCACUGGAAGACAGUGAACGGAGGCGACUGCCGACUGGUAGAUUCAAUAAUGUCAUGUAUCAGCUGUAUAGUAUACUGAAAGAUCAGCAGCAUUGAACCAUGGCUCAUCUUUGCAAUCAACCAUGCUUCUGGUUGGACCACUAGGUCUUCAUGUCAGUGCUGGAUAUUCACAACUAGCAAAGGAGAGCGUGAGGAUCCAUCACGGACAUCUGUAGAUGGCACGACUGCAACUCUGAUCGGUGAAAAGCUCAAUGUCCCAACUUGAUAUCCAUUGGCAACUCCAUUAAUGUGAUGCCAUGGUAACAACCUAUCAACGGGAAGCAGAUAUGCAGCUGGUCGCAAAAGGAUGGUUUCUGAGGAUAAUGUUUUUGCUUUGGAGUUUUCAAGUGUAGCAAAAUCACUCAAAGCUCUUGUGGAUGCUGAUGCAGCAAAUAUAGUGUUAUAGUGAAGUUCAGACUGCAUUUGUCUAACUUGAGGCUCAAAACCAGAUUGCUGAAAGAAGGGAUCAAUUGUUUAAUCAUAAAUGUAAUUGUGAAACAAAGUUUGUCAGAAUGAAGCAAAGCUGAAUCAGUUCCAUGCCACUCCAGAUGAGUACAUCAUCUGAUUUUUUUUAAUCAAGGACUUCAAAGUGCUAAGUAGAUUCUGUAUAUAGAGCUCUAGUGCUCUGUUUUGUGUUGUCAAACGUCAAUAGCAGCGUUCUUCC